GACGAACGCUGGCGGCGUGCUUAACACAUGCAAGUCGAACGAUGAAGGGAUCAGCUUGCUGGUUCUGGGUUAGUGGCGAACGGGUGAGUAACACGUGGGUAACCUGCCUCCUUCUUCGGGAUAACCGCAUGAAAGUGUGGCUAAUACGGGAUAUUCUUCGCCUGCGGCAUGGUGGGUGGGGGAAAGAGGUUGUUUCGGCGGGGGUUGGGCGCGCGGCCUAUAAGCGUGUUGGUGGGGUGAUGGCCUACCAAGGCGGUGACGGGUAGCCGGCCUGGGAGGGGGGACGAUCACACUGGGACUGAGACACGGCCCAGACUGCUACGGGGGGCAGGGGUGGGGAAUACAGCACAAGGGGGGCAAGCCUGAUGAAGCGACGCCGCGUGAGGGAGGGAGGCCUUCGGGUUGUGAACCUCUUAGGGAAGUGAAGCAGGCCUGUUACCUGUGGGUGGGUUGACGGUAGCUGGAUAAGAAGCGACGGCUAACUACGUG
rnacentral:rRNA from 1 species